UGGCGGACGGGUGAGUAACGCGUGGGUAACCUGCCUUGUACUGGGGGGACGAACAAGUUGGAAACGAACUGCUAAUACCGCAUAAGCGCACAGCUUCGCAUGAAGCAGUGUGAAAAACUACCGGUGGUACAAGAUGGACCCGCGUCUGAUUAGCUGGUUGGUGAGGUAACGGCCCACCAAGGCAACGAUCAGUAGCCGGCCUGAGAGGGUGAACGGCCACAUUGGGACUGAGACACGGCCCAAACUCCUACGGGAGGCAGCAUG
rnacentral:rRNA from 1 species